UACGAAGGGGGCUAGCGUUGUUCGGAAUUACUGGGCGUAAAGCGCGCGUAGGCGGACGCUUAAGUCGGGGGUGAAAUCCCGGGGCUCAACCCCGGAACCGCCUUUGAUACUGGGCGUCUGGAGUCCGGAAGAGGUUGGUGGAAUUCCGAGUGUAGAGGUGAAAUUCGUAGAUAUUCGGAGGAACACCAGAGGCGAAGGCGGCCAACUGGUCCGGUACUGACGCUGAGGCGCGAAAGCGUGGGGAGCAAACAGG
rnacentral:rRNA from 1 species